CUUUACCAGACAGCAGCCCUGAGUCUGGACACAGACAUGCUUGCUCAACCCCGUGGAGUUUAAAGAGCCAAAUGGGAACAAUGACCGAGAAAACAGGGUGGCGGUGGAGUGAACCCAGGCCAAGGCACCAGUGCCUCCUGCUCUCAGGCAGAGCUGGAAAAGUAGCAAUUUGCUCUGGCAAGGCCAGGGGACGGAAUGUUAACACAGACAGCUGCCUGCUCCGUCCGUAACCGUCUGGCCCGGAAGGCGCCGUGACAGCGAGGACCUAUCGCCACGAAGUGCACACCCUCAAGGACCAGCGCCCAAACAGAAAUCGAGAGAUUCUCGGACAGGAGGAGGCGCCACACUAGAUGACGCCCUAGGUCAGGGAUGCGCAGAGCCCUCGAGCAGUGCUGGUAUCCUCGGAUGCAAGAAUCCUCCAAGCCGCACCGCACCGCCUUCAUUCAGAGUUCCUGGGAGCCUCGGGGCCCCGUCAUCUCUAAUCUGACAGGCUGCUCGUCCCCACUGCCCUGGCUGAGGGUUCUAGAUGGAACAUGUACCUCCUCUGAUAAACUCCCACGGUAAAAGGAACUCGGGAGUGAAGGCUUGGGGGCGGGGCAGUGACAAGUUCAACCCAGAGUGUCUCUGGGAUGGGAAUGGUAGAGUGUUUGCCUAACGUGAAGUCACAGGCUCCAUCCCCAGCAUCCCAGAAACAGUAGCUGACACACACCUGAGAUCCCAGUGCCGUGGAGGAGGUGGAGGCAGAGGCGGAGGCGGAAGGAUCGAUGUUAAAGAUCAUCCUCAGCUACAUACAGAGUGUGAGUCUAGCCUGGAGUCCACCAGAAGGUUUUAUUUACUUAUUAUGUCUACAGCAUUGUCUGCAUGUACGCCUGCAGGCCAGAGGAGGGCGCCAGAUCUCAUUAUAGAUGGUUGUGAGCCACCGUGUGGUUGCUGGGAAUUGGACUCAGGACCUGUGGAAGAGCAGCCAGUGCUCUUAACCUCUGAGCCAUCUCUCCAGCCCCAGAACCUGUCUCAAAUAACAAAGAGGGUUAAAGAGAAAGGUCUGUCUGUCUGUCUCUCUCUCUCUCUCACACACACACACACAGAGCGAGCAAGAGAGAGCGCUUUGUGAAGGGAGGGAGGCUUGGGAGUGUGCCCCCCCCAGAUUACAUAAUAAAAGUCCGCUGCAGGAGGAACUCUCCAGUAGUGUAGCUCCCAGGAACUUUUGAGAAACUGGGAGGGGCUUUUCCACUGCCUAAGUGUCCCCAUCCCCCUGUGAGCUACCCUCACCCAUGUUUCUGCAAGUGACUCUAGUAAACUCAUUGCCCACCAGGCCGGGCUUAGAAGGGAUGGCUUUGCUGGUCUAACUGCUGUGUCUGGGGUGAAAAGGCGCUUAGUGUGUCUCCCAGGAAAAGUCACACAUGCUGUGUCACCAGAGAAGCAGCUGAAAGACAAACCUUGGAACCACCGGAACCCCUCAUGGGUGCCUUCCUGGCUCCUUCACCUCACCCCAACAGGACAUGAAGACAGCAGAGCUCUCUCUGGAAGUCUUGCCAGUCUGGUAUAUUGUGUUUCCCCUUUUCCUUUCUUAAAAAAUGUGUUUUGCUUCUUAUUUAUUUGGGGGGAGAAGCAUGUGAUGUCACAGCUCACACAUGGUGGUCAGAGGACAACUUACGAGGGCCAGCGCUUCUCUCCCACCGUGUGGGUCCUGGGGAUUGAACUCAGGUCUCAGGGUCGGCAGCGAGCACCUUUAAGCACUGAGCUAUCUUACCAGCCCUUCCCCCGUUCUCAUUGGCUUCCAUUAGCACUGACAUCGCUGCUUCUAAACAGUUAGGGCUUUUUUUUUCUUAAGUUAAAAGACAUUAAGCAGUAAAAUCUGACACGUUAGAAAAAUUCCAUUCCUGAGAUACUAAUUGUUGAGUCUCCAAGAAUCGUAGGUAGGUCAAGAUGUAGCCUCAAUCCAAACACAACACAAACGCUAUCAGAGCCAAAGCCACUGGCUACCACUGGGGGAGAGGAAGUGGGUGGAAAUUUCCAGGGAUUCCCUUGGUGAAUCCUGCAGCGGCAUUGCCUGGAGGAGACUGACCCCAAGAAUAGCAGGUGCAGCUGGCCCCAGGCUGGAAGGCACUGUGCACCUGUUCCUCACCCCAGGCCGGGAGGGGCUCUGCCGGACACUGUCCUCUCUCUCUUGUCUACUUUCUGGAUCACCAGAAAUGGGCGGCACAUUCCCAAUCUUCCCUCCCACCUUGUUCAAGCAAAUUGCUGACCACCUUCACUGCCCCCCUUCCCUGAUGAUGGCCAAGGACGCUUUGGGCUCCUUUUCUGUGACUGUCACCCUUGCUGAAUACUCUAAAAAAAUCCAGAAAGAGAGCUGCUGCCGUGAGAGCCCACCAAUUAAAGGCUGCCUAGUCGGGGCCUCUGAGGGCACUGUCACCAGAGACUCUCCGCAGAGAGGAAGAUGGGACGGAGCAGCCCUCCAGGGGCGUCCCUCCCAUCACGUCUGACACCCUGGGCAUGAUCGUUAAUAAAUGAAGAGGCAAUGGCCGAGGUGGGCCUGGCCAGUCUUGCUUUGACGAGAGUGUGGAAUUAUUUGCUGUACAAAAUGAGCCCUGAUGUUUGGACCUAGCGUUUCCGACUCUAUCCUCGUGUGAAGCUUGUUCAGACCUUCAUUCUGUGUUUCACUUUUCAAACGAUAGUGGAUAAAUCACAGGAGAUACCCAGUGCCUCACCAGCUGGCUAUUGGGCGGGGAAUGUCACCCAACUGCCUGCUAAAAUAAAUACUCUGAGCAUA